CGGCAGCAGCUGCCCUCUGCAGGUCUCUCUGCGUAAGUGCAGCCUAUUCUUCUAGAAAAACCCAACCCCCAACCUGCCAACCAAGCAAAUUCCUGGGACCCUUCUCUGCUCAGGUUACGCCUCUGCAAUGCUAGUCUCACGCGUUCUAGUCAUUUCUAGUCACCUCUAUCGCUCUGAACUCUGGUAUCUGCUUUUUCAGCUCAGUAAGAUGAUGGCCACUGCUUGGAGCACCUGCCAGUUCCAGAAGCUUUUUAAAAAGAAAACAGCUGUGUUGAGGAAACACUAAGAAUUUUUUCUCCCCUGCGAUGCUGAGAGUCUACACCUGGGGCUGUGUUAG
rnacentral:lncRNA from 1 species